rnacentral:misc_RNA from 1 species
ACACUUGGGUAAGAAUUGGGGUGCUUUGUCCACCAGGUAUUUCAAGUUCAUCGUCGACGCCAAAUGUUAAGGAACUUUUCCCGUUAUCAGAAAUACAGUACCAGAAUCCGUCAAAAUCUGGAAAAAGUUGCAUUGACAACGAAGUUUGUCCACCACCCAUCCCGAGGAUUCCAUUUUUGAAAUCCUUUAGUUUGGUUUGUGAAUUAUCCGAGCAACCAAAGACUAAUGAUGUCGAA